CAAGGCAUUCGUGCAAGUUGUUAAAUCCGGGCUAAUACCCGAAGGCAUUUGUGCAAGUCGUUCUAUCCGGGCUAAGACCCGAAGGCAUUCGUGCAUGUGGUUAUAUCCGGUUGUAUUCCGAAGAAGCUUGGGCUGGAGGUGAGCGUUGGUUGCUGUAAUAAAUUUAAUUAGUACGCUCGAAAAGCCCAAAGGAUAAGAUUUUGCUCGUUAGCGAUCGGAUUCGGGAUCAUUAAAGUCGAAGUCAUCUACACUAUCAAAGCCUCUAUUUUUGUAUAAUUUUGGUUGAACUUUGAAAUGGCAUGUAUAGGACUACCCUAUUGUUGAAGGUCAUGUACCUUUCGGUUUUGUGUAAACUUGGAUAGCCAUGCGAAAAUGGCUUAUAUACGUUUUUGGUAUGAUACUAUAAUCGUUGUAUGUUGAUCAUUAUGGGGUAUGGAAUUGUUUUGAGAAGAUUAGCCAUUGGAAUGGUUAAUCAUGAUCA